GCGCAGCAGGCGAGAAUCCUCCGCAAUGCGCGAAAGCGCGACGGGGCCACCCCGAGUGCCGCCCGUUGAGGGCGGCUUUUCCCGGUGUAGACAGCCGGGGGAAUAAGGGGAGGGCAAGUCUGGUGUCAGCCGCCGCGGUAAUACCAGCUCCCCGAGUGGUGGGGACGAUUAUUGGGCCUAAAGCGUCCGUAGCCGGCCCGGCAAGUCUCCCGUUAAAUCCAGCGAUCUAAUCGCUGGACUGCGGGAGAUACUGUCGGGCUAGGGGGGCGGGAGAGGCCGGCGGUAUUCCCGGGGUAGGGGUGAAAUCCUAUAAUCCCGGGAGGACCACCAGUGGCGAAGGCUGCCGGCUGGAACGCGCCCGACGGUGAGGGACGAAAGCCGGGGGAGCGAACCGGAUUAGAUACCCCUGUAGU
rnacentral:rRNA from 1 species